rnacentral:lncRNA from 1 species
UUUUUUUUUUUUUUGUCUUCUUUUGGGCCUCACUCUUGGCACAUGGAGGUUUCCAGGCUAGGGGAUGAAUUGAAACUACAGCUGCCAGCCUACACCACAGCCACAGCGAUGCUGCACCCAAGCUGUGUCUGCAACCUACAUCACAGCUCACAGUAACGCCAGAUCCUUAGCCCCCUGACUGAGGCCAGGGAUCGAAUCCAUGUCCUCAUGGAUACUAGUCAGGUUCAUUAACCACUGAGCCACAACAGGAACUCCUAAUAUUCUAAUUCUUGAUCUGGGUGCUAGUUACUAGGAUUGUUCACUUGGUAAAAAUUAAAUGAGCACCUAGGGUUUUCUGCAUACUUCUGAAUAUCUAAAAUAAAGUGUAUUAAGGAGUUCUCAUCGUGGCUCAGUGGUUUACAAAUCCGACUAGGAACCAUGAGGUUGCGGGUUUGAUCCCUGGCCUUGCUCAGCGGGUUAAAACGAUCCGACGUUGCCGUGACCUGGGUGUAGGUUGCAGAUGUGGCUCGGAUCCCGCGUUGCUGUGGCUCUGGGGUAGGCCGGCAGCUGCAGCUCCGAUUAGACCCCUAGCCUGGGAGCCUCCAUAUGCUGCGGGAGCAGCCCAAGAAAUGGCAAAAAGACAAAAAUAAAAAAUGAAUAAAAUAAAAUAAAGAGUAUUAAAAAUUUUAAAUGGUGGAGUUCCCUUCGUGGCGCAGUGGUUAACGAACCCAGCUAGGAACCAGGAGGAUGCAGGUUCAAUCCCUGGCCUUGCUUAGUGGGUUAAGAAUCUGGCGUUGCUGUGAGCUGUGGUGUAGGUCAUAAAUACAGCUUGGAUCUGAGUUGCUGUGGCUGUGGCAUGCUGUAGCUCUGAUUCAACUCUGAGCCUUGGGAACUUCCACAUGCCGCAGGUGUGGCCCUAAAAAAGCGGAAAAGAGAAAUUAAAAAUGGCAAGAGAGAAACUGGAGACAGGGGUUAUAGCAACUCCUUGCUGUAGAGGAGUUUUGCUGCAAAAGGGAAGAAGGAAAUGAGGAUUAGUUCACAGAGGAAGUAGGGUUAAAGAGGGUUUGGUUUUUUGGGUUUUUGUUUUGUUUUGUUUUUUAAGCUGAGAGAAACAAUAGCAUGUUUGUCUGUCAAUAGGAGAAAAUCGAAGAUUUUAGGAGAGAAAGGGGAGAAUAGUAGAUUGAUGUCCUUGACUAGGUGAGCGGGGGUGCAAUCUGGUAUAUAAGUAGAGGGAUUGGCUUUGGACGAGAGCACAGGGAGCUCAUCUGUGCUAACAGCACAUUUUGGAUAACUGAAGGCACCUGCAAUCUGGUGCCUAUCUUUAUGCACAGUAAAGAAUAAGUCUUGGUUACCAAGGGAUUCCUUUCUGAUUUUCCUUAAGCAGUUCCCCAUUAGCCAUUUGGUAAAUAAUAAUUUCACUAACAGUCAGUACUUACAGGUGCUUUCACACAGAUCUUACUCAACACUCAUCUUCUAAUGAACACGGCCUUUGUAAGUUGGUACAACCACUAUGGAAAACAGCAUGGAGAUUCCUCAAAAAACUGCAGAUAGAACUACCAGUAUGAUCCCAUUCCUGAGCAUCUAUCUGGAGAAAACUGUCUGUCUGGAUCUAAAUUUCCCUUUUUUUAUAAAGACACCAGUCAUGCAGGAGUAGAGAUCCACUCUAUUCCAUUAUGGCCUCCUCUUAACUAAUCACAUCUGUAAAGACCUUACUUCUAAAUAAGUUCGCAUUGUGAGAUACUGGGGGUUAGGGCUUCAACAUAUAAAUUUAGGGUUCGGGGGGACACAAUUCAAUCCAUGACAGUUUUCUAAUGUCACAUUUAGUGGUGGUCGAGUAGGCAACUUCAGGCCAGAUGGAACUGAGAAUCAAUGGGAUUGAAAAGGCCCUCCUUGUGUGCCUCUCUGAUGCCUAUCAAUCCCAUCAUUUGACCCUGUUGUCUUUGAUAAGACUCUGACAUGUUUUGACCGGUUUUAGAAGACAGAACCUUGAACAAUAAGAAGUAAUAACUGGGAAGGGAAAGGGUCGGGGGGAUUUCGAGGGGAGGUGUUUCUCCAAGGCAAGGUCAUUUGUAUUGAAUACACGUUUGUCUUUUAUAAAAUGAAAGCGGCUUUCCCAGGCUUUAGCCCUGAAAUUCUGAUUCUUCAGGCCUGGAGCCCGGGAAUUGGCAUUUUUGCCUGCAUUCAGGUUCUUCAGAUGCCACACUCUGACAGAGAUUUCCCCAGAAAGCCUGUGGUUCACGGUGUGGGGAAAUUGAAGCAACCAGACACUGUGCCUUGCUGUCUAGAGAGAGUGGACAAAGCCACGAAACCCCGAAGGUCAGAGCUCCAAGGGCCAGAAGAGACCAUCAAGAUCACCUCCUCAUUUUCCAGAUGAGUAAAUAGAGCUCAGAGAUGAUGAAGCCGGGACAUGUUAAGCACUUAAGAACAGAGAGAUGCAAAGACAGGACUUAAAUGUAAUAAGAAGAUUACAAUGGAUAAAAUGAAAAGAGAGAAGAGAAAUGGGAGGAGCUGUCCCUUAAGCUAGUGUCUAGACUAGUUAAUGUCUCCUUUCUCUGUUAGGUCACAGAAGUUGCCAUGCUUCAGAGUGGGCCAGCUUCACGCUUUGGAGGUAGGCCUGAAGCAUGUAUUUGUUCACAGGACAAAGAAUAGGUCUGUUUUGUGGGAGUUCUUUGUGGGAGUUCUCUACUUCUCAUGGCACUGCAUUAUCCUUAGCAAGCAGAGAUAAAAUAAGAACCCCCCAGCGUUCCCACUGUGGUGCAGUGGGUUUAGAAUCCAACUGCAGCAACUGGGGGUCUCAGUGGAGACAUGGGUUCGGUUCCCAGCCAGCAUAGUAGGUUAAGGAUCCCACUUUGCCACAGCUGCAGCAUAGGUCACAGCUGCAGCUUGGAUUCGAUCCCUGGCCCAGGAAUUUCCAUAUGCCAUAGGUGUGGCCAUAAAAUAUAUAUAUAUAUAUAUAUAUAUAUAUGUGAAUNCUACAAAAAAACCACUGAGUAUGGGAUUAAAUUAAUCAAUUACCUUUUUAAAAAAAUAUAUCUAUAUUUUUUAUUUUAUUUAUUUUUUAAUUUUUGUCUUUUGUCCUUUUAGGGCUGUACCCACGGCAUAUGGAGAUUCCCAGGCUAGGGUGUCUAAUCGGAGCUGUUGCUGCCAGCCUACGCCGGAGCCACAGCAAUGCCGGAUCCUUAACCUACUGAGCGAGGCCAGGGAUCGAACCCGAAACCUUAUGGUUCCUAGUCAGAUUUGUUUCCGCUGCACCACAAUUGGAACUCCAAUCAAUUAUCUUUAACUAUGGUUAGUCUUUGGUAGAUAGACUUCCUGACAAAACUACGAGUAUAACGAUCUAUAUCUUUCUAAUUUCUUUACUGGUGUUUCACCUUCUUGACCUCAUUUUAAUGUUUACAAUAACCCUGUAGUAGGUAUUCCCCUCAUUGGACAGAUAUGUUAAGGAUGAAAAUCUGAUCAUACCCUUCCCCUGCUUAUAAUCCUUCAGUGAUUCCUCACUGUCCACCCACUGGCUCAUAAAUCCUUCCUUGGGGAAAUGUGUGAUGAGUUAAUAAGCUAAAAGAAAGGAAGGGCAACUCAUACAAGGAUAUACAUACGCACUUUACUCAAAUAUUAAAAAACUGGAAGCAAACCAAAACCCAACAGUAAAGGGCAAGGUUAUGCAAAUCCUGCUCUAUCAAUACACUGGAAUACUCUGUACCUACUUUAGAUAAGAAUCUGGUCUGGAGUUCCCGUCGUGGCGCAGUGGUUAACGAAUCCGACUAGGAACCAUGAGGUUGCGGGUUCGGUCCCUUCCCUUGCUCAGUGGGUUAACGAUCUGGCGUUGUCGUGAGCUGUGGUGUAGGUUGCAGACGCGGCUCGGAUCCCGCGUUGCUGUGGCUCUGGCGUAGGCCAGUGGCUACAGCUCCGAUUCAACCCCUAGCCUGGGAACCUCCAUAUGCCGCGGGAGCGGCCCAAGAAAUAGCAACAACAACAACAACAACAAAAGACAAACAAACAAACAAACAAACAAACAAAAAAGAAUCUGGUCUGUGCUGAGACAUGAGUGUGUGUCUCAAGUUGGGAAAUGCGAAAUAAACUCAAUAAAUAGAAUUAUGAAUACUCCUCUUUCAACUCUGUAAAAAUAUACAUGUACAUACUGACGAAGAGCAGAGAGUAAGAAGAAGUAGUAAAAUGUUAUUGUUUGUGAAUCACAUGUUCUGUUUUAAGGGUGACAUAAAAAUUUAAACAGAGGCAAUAAUGUUCUUGGAUUUUUCUCCUGGGGGCACUCACACAGGAUUUUAUACUGUGAAGAGAAAACUAGACAUGGAACUUCAAACCUUAAGGCCUCAGUACUGCAGCGUAGGCUAAGAACAUGGUGACAGUUUUAUGUUGGGAUGUCAGUGUGUGAGUCAAUUCAAGUCAGAAUGGGGAUGGAGCAGGCAUCCCCCAGCCUACGGCUGUACUAAGUACGCUCAUAGACGCACAUGCGUGCUUGGCCCGUGGUCACAUCAGUGAUUGCUGCCGCAGCAGUUCAAAGCCACUCAGAAGUCACAGAGCAGGAAAAGAACUGCCCUAUUAACUGCGAGAAAAACUGGUCAGACCUGAUCAAGCAGAACAUCAGUGUGUGAUGUCAAACUGACCUUACGUACAAAGAGGCUCCAGGAACAAUUCAGCGAGUUCUCUUUAUUUGUUAUGGUCGGAGGCAUGAAAGCAUGGCACUGAAAGCCCACUAUUAGUACACUCAAAUGGCUGAAGUACCUGAACUUUUUCUUUUCUUUUCUUUUCUUGUCUUUUUGCCAUUUCUUGGGCCGCUCCUGCGGCAUAUGGAGGUUCCCAGGCUAAGGUUCUAAUCGGAGCUGUAGCCGCCGGCCUGCACCAGAGCCACAGAAACGCCAGAUCCGAGCUGUGUCACGGCUCACGGCAAUGCCAGAUCCCCAACCCACUGAGCAAGGCCAAGGAUCAAACCCACAACCUCAUGGUUCCUAGUUGGAUUCGUUAACCACUGAGCCACGACUGGAACUCCAUUGAAAUUUUCCCAGUAUCUAUUUAAAUGCGUUCCUAGAUCUUUUCCUAAUUCUCUUUCAAGGUUCUCCUCUGACUCUAAAUCUUACAGCAUUUGCCUUUUGUACAUUUCAUUAAACAAUAUUAUCAUUGAGUCCACUUUAGGUUUAUCGUUUCACCGUGUACAGAUGAGG